UUUUCUAGAAUUAUUGGAAACCAGAAUUGUCACAGUUUAUUAAGGCCACAUACGUCUAGGUGAACCUUAGUGUUUUUGAUAAUACAAAAUGUCGUAAACAGAUAAUUUGCACACGUGAUAUGUCAUAACUACUGCGCUGGUUAUACCCGUUAGAACGUAACAACCGCCAGCAGUGGCAUCAACCCGUUGAUUGCAUAAAAACUCGUAAAGUAUACUUAAUUUGUUAUGCUGGUGGGUAAAUCAGCUGUGUUUAGAAAUCAAUUAAAUUUAAACUUAUCAUCAUUUGUAAAGUUAAAUAAUACCAUUUACAUGUCGGACAGAGAU
rnacentral:lncRNA from 1 species